rnacentral:rRNA from 1 species
CUACGGGAGGCAGCAGUGGGGAAUAUUGGACAAUGGGCGGAGGCCUGAUCCAGCCAUCCCGCGUGCAGGAUGACAGCCCUAUGGGUUGUAAACUGCUUUUAUUAGGGAAGAACAGUUGAGAUUGAUCUUGAUUUGACGGUACCUAAGGAAUAAGCACCGGCUAACUCCGUGCCAGCAGCCGCGGUAAUACGGAGGGUGCGAGCGUUAUCCGGAAUUACUGGGUUUAAAGGGUGCGUAGGCGGCUUUAUAAGUCAGAGGUGAAAGGCUACGGCUUAACUGUAGGAUUGCCUUUGAUACUGUGAGGCUUGAAUUGAGAUGAGGUAUGCGGAAUGUGGCAUGUAGCGGUGAAAUGCAUAGAUAUGCCAUAGAACAUCGAUUGCGAAGGCAGCAUACUAGGCUUUGAUUGACGCUGAGGCACGAAAGCGUGGGGAGCGAACAGGAUUAGAUACCCUGGUAGUCCACGCCCUAAACGAUGCUCACUCGAUAUGUGUUCUAUAAGGAUGCGUGUCCAAGGGAAACCGUUAAGUGAGCCACCUGGGGAGUACGUCCGCAAGGAUGAAACUCAAAG